GCCUCUUCCCUUCGGCCCGGGAGGAAGCGGGGUCUCUCUGACCCUGACAUUGUUCGCCUCGCGCCGGCUGGUGGCCGUCGGCGGGUGCGUGCAGAUGCUUCUGGGCUGGGAGCUGUGUCUGUGAGGCAGGAGGAAAAUGUGCUUAGGUGGGAAUUUCGUGCGGAGCCUGAGCCAGUACAAUUAAUUUAGGGGCGACCUCCCGGCUCACAAGUCGCAAGUCUUGUGAAAAACAAUCCCUUCGCUCCAAGAAUACUUCAGGAUUGGGGCAGAGGCCAGGGAGCGCUGGUGGCACUGUUCAGGAAGGUCUCCUUUGUCCUCUCGCCCCGAGUCUCUAUCAAACCCCCCAAAUAACUGUGACCGAAAAGGAGAACUUGUCAUCAAUUGUAACCGUCUUCAGUCCUCAGUGGGCCAAGGUGCUGGCAGUUUCCUGGCACUGAUUUUUGAGAACUGUAAUUACUGGACCACAAAAAUUAUCUCUGUUUCCUCGAGAAGAAGCAUGAGAAAUAAUUUGCCAUGAAGCAUACAAGUGACCCCUGUUUCCUCCGCCGAUUCUCUGUGUUCUUCUCUGCCGGUCUCUAAACCCAGAUCAUUUCCAAACCAGUCAUGGGGUCACGGGCCGUCACUGAACGCAAAGCCACAGAACAAAGAGCCCGGAAAGGAGUGGGGCUGGGAGGGUUCCGGAGGAAAGACGAACCCCGGCAUCCGAGGGGAAGAGGUGCAGCGUUUCUAAGUCUGGCAGGAAGGCCCGGGCAUCCUCCAAAGCUGCCUGGGCCGCCACAGUGAAGUUGGGGUCACCGGAGAUCAAAACAUCAAAGACACACGAGUGGAAAUAAGCGUCUUCCACCGGCAGCCCUUCCUUGCACAACCGCUUGGCCGCAUCCACGGUCAUCGCUCCCCGACGACUGCGCUCGGAGCGAGAGAGCCGCUGACUUGGGGGGCACCCCCCAACACAGAGCUGCAGGUCCUGCUCAGCCGAGAAGGCCCGGGCCACGUCCUCUGCUACCUUGACGGAGAAGGAGAGGUGCCCAGCUGUCUCCCGGAGGAUUAUGGUUGUGCCGAUAUAGGCAGCUCGGAUCUCCACGUGGUUCCCAGGGUCCGCAGUCCAAAUGGACAGACUGGAGCCCCCAGGGCGGUCACCUCCAUUGACCGACCCGUCUUCAAAGGCUGCCGGGAGGUUGCCCACCUCAGCCUGGUACACCUUCUGAUCAAUGCACUCCUGCAUGUUCUUAAAUAUAAUGGUGAGCUGCAAGGGCAAGAGGAGAAACCGUUCAUUUGGGGUUGGGUGCUUCCACCCCUCGGCAAUGAGGCCUCACCCCGGCCCUCCCUCGCCCCGCCUCCCCGGAUCGGGGACCUGACCUGGGCAGAGAGGCGGAGGCCCUCACUCACUUCGACCCCUCCCCCGCCUUUUUGGUCUUCAUCUCAGCCACUCACAGGAGAAGACAAAGUUUCUCUUCUGUAACGUCUCAACCUAGGGCUCCUCAGCUCUCCUCUCAACGCUCUCUGGUGUUUUCUGCAUCUGAGUGCAGUUCCCAGCGAGGGAAAGUGACUUA